rnacentral:tRNA from 1 species
GGAUUGUGGCUCAGUGGUUGAGCGCUUGUCUAGCACGUGCAAGCCCUGGGGUUCGAUCCUCAGCACCA